GUUUGCACUUGUCGGGGAAGGGUGAGAACCUUCGAUUAAGGUUCGACUCGAGCGAAGCGAGAGAACGUUGCCAACGGCAACGGCCCGUAGGGUGAGGAGCGAAGCGACGAAUAAUCCUUCCCCCACCACCA
rnacentral:sRNA from 10 species